rnacentral:rRNA from 1 species
GUCGAACGGUAACAGGAAGAAGCUUGCUUCUUUGCUGACGAGUGGCGGACGGGUGAGUAAUGUCUGGGAAACUGCCUGAUGGAGGGGGAUAACUACUGGAAACGGUAGCUAAUACCGCAUAACGUCGCAAGACCAAAGAGGGGGACCUUCGGGCCUCUUGCCAUCGGAUGUGCCCAGAUGGGAUUAGCUAGUAGGUGGGGUAACGGCUCACCUAGGCGACGAUCCCUAGCUGGUCUGAGAGGAUGACCAGCCACACUGGAACUGAGACACGGUCCAGACUCCUACGGGAGGCAGCAGUGGGGAAUAUUGCACAAUGGGCGCAAGCCUGAUGCAGCCAUGCCGCGUGUAUGAAGAAGGCCUUCGGGUUGUAAAGUACUUUCAGCGGGGAGGAAGGGAGUAAAGUUAAUACCUUUGCUCAUUGACGUUACCCGCAGAAGAAGCACCGGCUAACUCCGUGCCAGCAGCCGCGGUAAUACGGAGGGUGCAAGCGUUAAUCGGAAUUACUGGGCGUAAAGCGCACGCAGGCGGUUUGUUAAGUCAGAUGUGAAAUCCCCGGGCUCAACCUGGGAACUGCAUCUGAUACUGGCAAGCUUGAGUCUCGUAGAGGGGGGUAGAAUUCCAGGUGUACGGUGAAAUGCGUAGAGAUCUGG